AUUCCCUCUAGGUGUUCUUUCUUUAGGUAGAAAAGUCUGUUCUUCGCAGCUUAAUGUCUGCCAUAUCCUGCUUCACAGGACCAGUAUAUCAAACUCAUUUUCGGGUGAUGACAGUGUGCUAAGAGCAUGCUUUAUCUCUGUCAUUGGAUGCCUCCUCGCUAUGAAACUCUCGUAAAGUAACCAAAUGCCU